GUGGGGAAUAUUGGGCAAUGGGGGCAACCCUGACCCAGCGACGCCGCGUGAGGGAAGACGGCCUUCGGGUUGUAAACCUCUUUUGUACGGGAAGAAGGAAGUGACGGUACUGUACGAAUAAGUCCCGGCUAACUACGUGCCAGCAGCCGCGGUAAUACGUAGGGGACGAGCGUUGUCCGGAAUUACUGGGCGUAAAGGGCGCGCAGGCUGUGCUGCAAGUCAGCUGUGAAAUGUCUGGGCUUAACCCGGGCAUGCGGUUGAGACUGCAGUGCUGGAGUGCUGUAGAGGCAAGUGGAAUUCACAGUGUAGCGGUGAAAUGCGUAGAUAUUGGGAAGAACACCGGUGGCGAAGGCGACUUGCUGGGCAGCAACUGACGCUGAGGCGCGAAAGCCAGGGGAGCAAACGGGAUUAGAAACCCGGGUAGUCC
rnacentral:rRNA from 1 species